AUUGAACGCUGGCGGCAUGCCUUACACAUGCAAGUCGAACGGUAACAGGUCUUCGGAUGCUGACGAGUGGCGAACGGGUGAGUAAUACAUAGGAACGUGCCUAGUAGUGGGGGAUAACUACUCGAAAGAGUGGCUAAUACCGCAUGAGAUCUACGGAUGAAAGCAGGGGAUCGCAAGCCCUUGUGCUACUAGAGCGGCCGAUGGCAGAUUAGGUAGUUGGUGGGAUAAAAGCUUACCAAGCCGACGAUCUGUAGCUGGUCUGAGAGGACGAUCAGCCACACUGGGACUGAGACACGGCCCAGACUCCUACGGGAGGCAGCAGUGGGGAAUUUUGGACAAUGGGCGCAAGCCUGAUCCAGCAAUGCCGCGUGCAGGAUGAAGGCCUUCGGGUUGUAAACUGCUUUUGUACGGAACGAAAAGCCCUGGGUUAAUACCCUGGGGUCAUGACGGUACCGUAAGAAUAAGCACCGGCUAACUACGUGCCAGCCGCCGCGGUAAGAC
rnacentral:rRNA from 1 species